rnacentral:rRNA from 1 species
CCUACGGGUGGCAGCAGUGAGGAAUAUUGGUCAAUGGGCGUAAGCCUGAACCAGCCAAGUCGCGUGAGGGAUGACGGUCCUAUGGAUUGUAAACCUCUUUUAUAAGGGAAUAAAGUGCGGCACGUGUGCUGUUUUGUAUGUACCUUAUGAAUAAGGAUCGGCUAACUCCGUGCCAGCAGCCGCGGUAAUACGGAGGAUCCGAGCGUUAUCCGGAUUUAUUGGGUUUAAAGGGUGCGUAGGCGGCCUGUUAAGUCAGCGGGGAAAGUCUGUGGCUCAACCAUAGAAUUGCCGUUGAAACUGGCGUGCUUGAGUAUGCUUGAGGUAUGCGGAAUGCGUGGUGUAGCGGUGAAAUGCUUAGAUAUCACGCAGAACCCCGAUUGCGAAGGCAGCCUACCAAGGCACGACUGACGCUGAUGCACGAAAGCGUGGGUAUCAAACAGGAUUAGAUACCCUAGUAGUC